AGAACACAGAACUGGUAGGGCCAGGUAAGUGCACCGUUGUCAUUCAGUUAAGUCCCAAAGCCUUAGCACACUGCUGGGCGCUUUUCACCAUUGCCUGGCUCAGGGCUUGAUAGAAAAGGCUCACUCCAGCCCACCACCCUAGCAUACAUGUGUGACUGCGCUCCACGUCUGUCAGGCUCCAUUCCAGUCACACAAAUGCUGCUAACCCAUUUAACCCUCACCACAACGCUUUGUGUAAUGAAUGACCCCUUGGGUUUUCAGGGGAACAGUUUGUUUUGUUUUGUUUUGUUUUGUUUUGUUUUGUUUUUUCCAAGACAGGGUUUCUCUGUGUAACCCUGGCUGUCCUGGAACUUAUUCUGUAGUCCAGUCUGGCCUCAAACUCACUUCCUACCUAUGCCUUCUGAGUGCCGGGAUUAAAGGCGUAUUCAGCUUUGU
rnacentral:lncRNA from 1 species